GACGAACGCUGGCGGCGUGCUUAACACAUGCAAGUCGAACGGAAAGGCCCCUUUGGGGGUACUCGAGUGGCGAACGGGUGAGUAACACGUGAGUAACCUGCCCUUGACUUCGGGAUAACUUCAGGAAACUGGGGCUAAUACCGGAUAGGAAUCCUUGCUGCAUGGUGGGUGUUGGAAAGCUUCGGCGGUUUUGGAUGGACUCGCGGCUUAUCAGCUUGUUGGUGGGGUAGUGGCUUACCAAGGCUUUGACGGGUAGCCGGCCUGGGAGGGCGACCGGCCACAUUGGGACUGAGAUACGGCCCAGACUCCUACGGGAGGCAGCAGUGGGGAAUAUUGCACAAUGGGCGGAAGCCUGAUGCAGCAACGCCGCGGGCGGGAUGACGGCCUUCGGGUUGUAAACCGCUUUCAGCAGGGGCGAAGCUUGUGGUGACGGUACCUGCAGAAGAAGCACCGGCUAACUACGUG
rnacentral:rRNA from 1 species